GCCCAGGUGUUGGAACUGGCAGACAAGCAGGACUUAGAAUCCUGUGCCCGCAAGGGCGUGGAGGUUCGAUCCCUCUCCUGGGCA
rnacentral:tRNA from 1 species